CAAAUAGUAAAACACGAAGGUGGAUCGGUCAUGGUGUGGGGUGCAUGGCUGCCGGUGGCACUGGAAAUUUGAUAUUUAUUGAUGGAACACUUGAUAAAUAUCAAUAUUUUAAUAUUUUAAAAAAUAACCUUGAAGAAAUUGCCCGUAAAUUAGGAUUACUGAAAGAUUUCCACUUCCAACAAGAUAAUGAUCCUAAGCAUACUGCUAGAAUUGUGAAAGAAUGAAUCGUAUAUAACACACCACACGUGUUAAUUACUUCACCGCAAAGUCCAGACGUAAAUCCUAUUGAAAAUUUAUAGGCUGAAAUGGGAAAAAGAUGAAAUAAAUUUCAGAUAAUCUGAAAGCAAGUAUUGAAAGAUAAAAUUAUAAAAAUAUGGAACUCCGUUGAGUGUAGUUUUACAAAAUCAUUGGUUUACAGUAUGGGACGUCGAUUGAGACACACUAUUGCUGCUAAAGUUGGCCCAACAAAAUAUUAAUAUCAAAUAAUUGAAUAAUAUAUGUAGCGUUCAAAUACUUUUCUCAGUCACUUACAAUCUUUUCCAAAUUUUACUGAUAUAAUCUUAAGACCUCCAUCUUCCUACUGACAUCUGCUUGUCUAAGCAAAUUACUUUAAUGUACAUUAUUUCGGUCAUUCAAGUGUGCAUAUGCAAGCGUUCGAAUACUUUCGUGAGCCACUGUAUGUAUUUACGAAAAUGGACGAAAAUACGACGUACAAUGUGUUUAUUGAUAUAAUUAAUAAUAAAUAAUUAGAUAUAAUAAAACCAUAAUACAGAAGAUUAUUAAAAGCAAAUUUUGUAAACCUUUUAAAAAACAUCGAUCAGAUCGUCAUAGCAUCAGACGAUUAAUAUUGCAACGAUGAGAAACUCUCCAAAAAUUCAAUGAUUUACUUUCUCUUCUCCAAUCGCUCUAAAUAUAAUUUUGUGAAACAUUCUUUCGUGAACAUGAGAAACAAAAGACUAACGGAAGAUUAGGUUAAACCUGAGACAAGAUGAGCAACAAGAAUUGCAGAAAAUACGCAACACGGUCCAUGAUACACGAUUUAUACGAACAAGAAACAACAAACAACCAAGCGGAACGUUAACGCGAGUAUCAUCGUACGAAGUAACUGUAAGACGCGAGUACGUGAAAAGAAACGGUGAAAUUACUUCGAAUUUAGCGGUCAAACGAUUCGUCGACUGGUAUCAUGGACAAGGUGCUCCUUCCUCUUCGCUAUUCAACCUGUUCACGCGGGCUGUGCUCGCCCACCUUACCUUGCCACUAGCCUUGCUUAGUGUUGUUUACUCGCGUCGACUGUUCGCCACACCGGGCUUCGUUUCUCCUGCUCGAGAUCGAACGUACAAGCAACCGACCAACUCUCGCAAUUAUCCAGAUUUCGCUCAGAAGGACGAUCCUUCGUUUCGAGAUUAAUCGAACGACCAUUAGCAGACGAUCGCUUCUUGGAAGAGGCUAAAGGGAUGAACGGAUCGAGCGGACGAACGGAGAACUCGUCGAAACUUUCUCAAACUUUCGACAAUCGUCGAAAUUAUGCUAUUGAAACCUUUCGUUUGAUUUUAUUGGGUUACGCAAUAGUUCCAUGUUGGGGGUCAACGAUGCCGAUAGAACAGAAACACGAGACUCCUAUGCACAAGGUGGAGCUCACUCAGAAGGGAUACAUUCAGUUUCUACGAUGGGAGCUGCCAGUGCCGGAGUUGACGGAGUUCACCUUCUGCCUGUGGAUGCAAUCGAAUGAUCUCACUCACUCUCAUCCCAUAUUCUCCUACUCGAAAGACGAGCGAGAGCGACUGGUACGAUCGUGGAUAGCGCCACAUGGCAGGAGCAUUCACCUUGAGAUCGGAGGAAAACAGGUGCUCGCAAUGCCGACCGAUAUUCUAGAGAAUCGAUGGUACCAUUUCUGUCUCAGUUGGGAGAACCAGGCCGGGCUCUAUGGACUCUGGAUCAACGGCCAGCUCUGGGCUCAAGGUCAUUCUGAUCAGACGAUAGGACAGAGGAUCCCUAGUGGAGGAGACAUCGUGCUGGGCCAGGAGUACACGGACUUUGACAAAGGGCUGGAGGACGGUAUCGAGGGUUCUGUAUUGGGCUUCAACCUUCUUCUAGCUUCGGCUUUCGAUAACCCGCACACAGACUACCAGCUCGAAGCCUCCUACGAUUCGACUCGGGUGUCCACCUCGAGUUACGCCACGGUUCCGCUUUUUGCGAGGAUUCCAACGAAACUGAUGCAACGCGCCAUCGAUUAUGGAACGCGAACGAGAACGCCUUACACAUUCCUGCCGACUAAUUCUAAUAAACUUCGAGGACGUGGCUACGACAAGAACGCCGUGUCUCUGCCUCUGCUGACCGGCACAGCUAAAUCCAUCUCUUCUGGAACGACCGACCCAUGGCGCGAUGCUACGAGCAUAGAACUGUCCAGGUUGCAAGAUCAACCUCUAGGACUGCAAUUGAUAACAUUGUCGUACACACACUGUGAAAUUGGUAGAGGAAGUCCUUACAUCGGUGGUAAGCUGAUGUUGAUCUCGUGGACCAGAACAGCGGUUCGUAUUUUUGGUGGAGCUUUGUUGAAGAACGUUGCCAGCGAUUGUGGCAAUUUCUAAGAAUUUGCAGCAGCAGCUCUCUCACACUGUACGAUAGAAUCGAAAUUGCUGUAGACACAGCCAGUAACCACGUUUUCGAACGUAGAGAAAGCGUUUAAAUUUAAAGAGUGGGGCAUCCGACUGGAGUUGUAAGGUCGUCGUCGCCAAUAUGGCCAUACGCAUAUGUAUUAUAUGCGCGUGAAAGAUAGAACAUUGGUGCAAACGUAUUUACAUGUAAUGUCACAGUUACUCGUCGUAUCGAAGUUCCAACGUCUCUGUAUUUAUAUCGGUUUGGCGACUAAGUGAUUGCGGAUUUUGUCAAUACCGCCUAAUGACAAAAUCCAGUUGCCAACUAUUUCUGUAUUUCUUUGCCAUUUCCAUAUUUAUCGAAUGGUAUAAGAGUGUACGAUUUAAGUGUCGUGUCGCUGAAACGAAUCUGUGAACGUAUCAGGUUAUGCCAAAAGUUUCUUUCGUUUUAUAAGAAAGUAGCAGAUGCACAACAUUGUUUCUUUUAUAUUAUUUUAUUGAAUUAUGUUUGAUCCAUUUUAUUCUAUUAUUACAAAAUGGAUCAUACAUAAAAUAGUAUAAAAUAAAAAAUGUUGUGCAUCUAUUGUUUCACUCAUGAAACGAAAGAAACUUUUCGGACAAUCUAAUACAUGUUACAAGGUAUUUGUCAGAAGCUAUACCUUUGGGUAGCAAAGAUCAUGCUAUUUUAUAAACUAUAAUACGUACACAUGAUGAGAGAACAUCUAUACCAAUGUAUAGCACUAACUGUAUACGUAUGUUUAAGACUAGUAUUCACGCUGUUUAUUUAUUUUUCACUAACAAUGUACGUAUUAACAACGUAUGUUUGCAAUAAAUGUCUUGUACUUCUCUAUACAUUUUUAGAUUGCCUUCAUAUUUUGCUGUUACAAUCGCGAUAAUCGUUACACUGCUAGUGAAAUUUCAGAUUGUACAUAACACGUUUAUAAAACGUUCCGACGAUUUGAUGACAUUUAUGCGUUAUGCUGUUAACACUAGAACGACCACACCAGUGAAAUUGACUGGUUUUACAAUUUUAUUUUCAAAUUUCUACUUCGUGUUAUAUUCUUUUCCGCAAUGAUGUAAUGACUUUCGCGACGAUAACUAAAAGAAUAAUAUAAUGAAUUUUAUUUUAUCUUGUUAUUUCUAUACUUAAACUCCCCCCUCGACAUUUUUUUUUUUUUUUUUGAUAACUGUAUUAUCACGUAAACAAUUAUUGUAUACUCGAUACAGCGUCCUUAUGAUAUUCAACACUGAAUCAUCGAUCACGCACCCCCUUUUUUUUUUUUGUUUUUUGGUUAUAUUCUGCGCUCCUCGAUAUUAUUACUGUUAAUAAUAUUUUCAAUAAAAAUAAUAACUAAUUAUUGCACCUGGCCCAUAACCUGUUGCGAUCCUAUCUCUGAGUAUAGAAAUAACAACAUUUUGUUUUUUAUGUAUUCAAACUGAAAAUAAUUUUGCAUCAAGGCUACUUAUACCAAUACCAGUGAAAAUGACUGGUACUUGUCAAAGUGUAAAAGGGUGCUGCAAUCUGUUUAUUGAACCCCAAUUAACCAGUUUCCCCAUUUUCUACAACUUGCCAUACGUUUUUCAAAUUUUUCGAUAUGACGAUAUCAGUUAUCAGGAAAAUUCCGAAUCGAUCGCUGAAUCGCUAGAUGCUAACACUAGAAACACCACACCAGUCAAAAUGACUGGUUUAUGACUGGCCCCAGAUGGAUUAAUAAUACUAAAAAUGCACUAUAUAACAUGGAAUUCCUUCCGUAAGAGAGUAAUAAAUCAAUAAAUAUAAAAAUAUUGUAUUAUUAGAUAUUUUUUAAAGACCAGUCGUUUUCGCUGGUUUUGAUAGAAAUAGCUUCGUGUUAACUAUCGGUAGUGCUAGUAUUAACUUUGAAAUAGUUUCUAAACUGGGCAUUUUCAGAUUCAAAUUUGAAUCUUGGUAGGUUUUGUCUAGUUUGCGAGUGUUACAAAUCUUGAAAAAUCUUCGAUCGUGUCAAAUUCUUUGGGUCGUUUGCUUCCUGCUGAUCUUUCGAUAAGAUACAUCGUUUCCAUCCUGAAACUCUCGAGCUAAGAAUUUCGAAUAUCCCGCAAGACUAUCAAAACUCAAGAAACUUCAAAGGCUCAGGAACUGAGCAAAAUUUUCAAACGGAUAUCAUAAUCGUUGCGCAAGACAAAUUUUCAAAGUUAAGCUAUAAGAAUUGAUAUCUUUGAUCGAUACAAACGAUUGAAAUUUGACAAUAUAAGAAAGAUUUGUUACGAAAGUUGUAUAUUUUAUUAAGCAGAAAAUCCGACAUGAAAAUAUAUGAAACAGAGGAUAUUCUGUAUCUCAUAUAUUUUCAUAUCGUUUCUUUGAUUAAUAAAAUGUAUACGCAAGCUUCAUAAUUAAAUUGUUUCGUAUCGAUGAAUACUAAUUACAAAUAUGAAUAUUAAUACCGAUUAUCAGCAACGUUAACAACAAUCGACGAUAGCCGAACGUAACGAGAGUAAAUUUUACGAUAAGCAAACGAAUUGUUUUCGGGCAAUCGAUUAUGUUUAUCGGUAACCAAAAUGAAAUUCGGUUCGUCGAUAGCCCCCCCCCCCAAAAAAAAAAAAAAAAUGCUAAUCGUUCACAACUGUUAUUCGCGAUGGGAACAAUUAAAAAUUACUAUCUUCCUUCUCUUCAUCUUUGGAGAAAUUAGCUUUUACUCCGUGGCACGUUUCCAAAAAAUGCCGAAAAUGACUGUUAUCUCGAGUGUCUGCUCGCAGAGGCUUCAAGAUACGAAUCAGGUUGCAAGUGAUUGGAUUUUAUCGUCGUACACGUUGCACAGAAAUUCCAAAUAUCGCAGAUCGCAUCGCUAGCUAUCGGCUACGUCGAAUUCACACUGUUUCACUUUGCAAGAACACGGCUUUCAUGCUGGUUUCAUUAGCAAAUUAGGGAAGAGCGAAACAGUGAGACGAUGUAAAUUAAAAGACAAUUCGAUUAUCCUGUUCGUUGUAAAUCUCGCGCUCGGGAAAUCGUGUGGAACGCGGCAACACGUUCAAGUGCAUCGAACUGUCGCGAGAUCGCUUUGCGCCGCUAUUAUUCCUCUCGAGUUCAUUUCCCGACUUAAUUCACCGACGCGCAUCAUUUGCCUACAGAUGCAGCGAAAAUUGAGCCGCACUUGGCAAUCGAUUUCGAAGCGUGUCGAACGAUUUUGUUGCGCAACGCGAAUGCGUAAACACAAAGUAGGAAAUUAUGGCGGAGACCUUGUUCUCGUGAAAUGGUUAAACCGGCGGAGAGCCGUGCGAUCGGGAAACGCGACGAUUACGUUACAACAGAUCGUUCCGCGUAAGAUGCAAUCGGUUAAGCUGGUUCGUUUCUUUUCCAACGCAUUUUACUUGGAUAAUCGCGCGCCUCUUUUUAGCUACACAGUGCGAGUAAUAGACUUUUUCUUAUUGAAAUUAACAGCACGUUGUCAGCAAACGAACCUGCAGCGAUCUACUUUGUAUCUUUUAAAUGUCUGUCGCAGCUAAUGAGAAUUCUAACGUAAAUAUAACGUAAGCUGAAAACCAUGAACUCCGAUAAAUGAUGAUAAUAAUAAUAAUAAUAAUAAUAAUAAAGAUAUUAACACUGACUGCCACGCUGAAAUCACAU